UAGGGAAUCUUCCGCAAUGGACGCAAGUCUGACGGAGCAACGCCGCGUGAGUGAUGAAGGUUUUCGGAUCGUAAAGCUCUGUUGCCCUAGACGAACGGCAAGGAGAGUAACUGCUCUUUGCGUGACGGUAUAGGAGAAGAAAGCCCCGGCUAACUACGUGCCAGCAGCCGCGGUAAUACGUAGGGGGCAAGCGUUGUCCGGAAUUAUUGGGCGUAAAGCGCGCGCAGGCGGUUCGUUAAGUUGGGUGUUUAAGCCCGGGGCUCAACCCCGGUACGCAUCCAAAACUGGCGAACUGGAGUGUAGGAGAGGAAAGUGGAAUUCCACGUGUAGCGGUGAAAUGCGUAGAGAUGUGGAGGAACACCAGUGGCGAAGGCGACUUUCUGGCCUAUAACUGACGCUGAGGCGCGAAAGCGUGGGGAGCAAACA
rnacentral:rRNA from 1 species